CCAAAAUGUAAGUGUUGUAAAUUUAUUAAUUUUAUUUUGAUAAAUGCUUUUAUAUUUAAAAUAGAGCAACUAUCAUAAUUAUUUUGUUCUAGAUUCAACACUUAUAUGUGCAACUACAUUUUGAAGGUGAUGGUAUGUUUGCACCAGUUGUCAUAGGUAUAGCUGUGAAAAUAAAACACAUUAAUUAAAAGAUAGACGAGAAUAAGAAUCUAUAAAAGAUUAGUGUCAUGUGAAAAAAAUGUUAAAAUAAUUGAGAGACAAAGUUUUAGUUAAGUAAUAAAUUAUAAAAUCUAUAAUUUUUAAAAUAUACAAUUUAAAAAAAAUGCUUAGGUAAUUAGAUUUAGAUCUCGAGAUAAUAUCUAAAAUUAAUAAUACUGUAUCUAAAUCAAUGAUAAUUGAUUUUUAUAAAAUCCAAUUAACAAUGCAAAAUUUUAAAUUUGUUAAGUUAAUCUAAUAAAUACUGCCAUCACAUAUAUGCUACAAAAUUUGAUAUAUAAAUUUGUAUACCUGAACAAAUAAAGGCAAGCUCGAUAAUUAGCAAGGCGGAAAACUUAGCCAUUUCAAAUAGUUUCAAUAUCAAUAGCAAUAUUAUGAUUUAUU
rnacentral:lncRNA from 1 species